rnacentral:rRNA from 1 species
GAUGAACGCUGGCGGCGUGCCUAAUACAUGCAAGUCGAGCGAACGGACGAGAAGCUUGCUUUUCUGAUGUUAGCGGCGGACGGGUGAGUAACACGUGGAUAACCUACCUAUAAGACUGGGAUAACUUCGGGAAACCGGAGCUAAUACCGGAUAAUAUUUUGAACCGCAUGGUUCAAAAGUGAAAGACGGUCUUGCUGUCACUUAUAGAUGGAUCCGCGCUGCAUUAGCUAGUUGGUAAGGUAACGGCUUACCAAGGCAACGAUGCAUAGCCGACCUGAGAGGGUGAUCGGCCACACUGGAACUGAGACACGGUCCAGACUCCUACGGGAGGCAGCAGUGGGGAAUCUUCCGCAAUGGGCGAAAGCCUGACGGAGCAACGCCGCGUGAGUGAUGAAGGUCUUCGGAUCGUAAAACUCUGUUAUUAGGGAAGAACAGAUGUGUAAGUAACUGUGCACAUCUUGACGGUACCUAAUCAGAAAGCCACGGCUAACUACGUG